rnacentral:rRNA from 1 species
CAGUCGCCGCGGUAAUACGGAGGGCGCGAGCGUUACCCGGAUUCACUGGGCGUAAAGGGCGUGUAGGCGGCCUGGGGCGUCCCAUGUGAAAGACCACGGCUCAACCGUGGGGGAGCGUGGGAUACGCUCAGGCUAGACGGUGGGAGAGGGUGGUGGAAUUCCCGGAGUAGCGGUGAAAUGCGCAGAUACCGGGAGGAACGCCGAUGGCGAAGGCAGCCACCUGGUCCACCCGUGACGCUGAGGCGAGAAAGCGUGGGGAGCAAACCGGAUUAGAUACCCGGGUAGUCCCUGUCUCUUAUAC